GAUGAACGCUGGCGGCGUGCCUAACACAUGCAAGUCGAGCGUGAUUUAUGAGGACGAAACUUCGGUCUAGGAAUCAUAAUGAAAGCGGCGGACGGGUGAGUAACGCGUAGGCAACCUGCCCUUGACACAGGGAUAGCCUCGGGAAACCGGGAUUAAAACCUGAUGACGCCAAACAGUCACAUGGCUGUUUGGCCAAAGAUUUAUCGGUCAAGGAUGGGCCUGCGUCUGAUUAGUUAGUUGGUGGGGUAACGGCCUACCAAGACGACGAUCAGUAGCCGACCUGAGAGGGUGAUCGGCCACAUUGGAACUGAGACAUGGUCCAAACUCCUACGGGAGGCAGCAGUGGGGAAUAUUGCACAAUGGGCGAAAGCCUGAUGCAGCAACGCCGCGUGAGCGAUGAAGGCCUUUGGGUCGUAAAGCUCUGUCCUUGGGGAAGAAACAAAUGACGGUACCCAAGGAGGAAGCCCCGGCUAACUACGUGCCAGCAGCCGCCGCGG
rnacentral:rRNA from 1 species